CUUGAAUUUUGAGCUAGCUAAUACUGCUUCCAGAACAUCGCAGUCCAAUGGGAUAUGGUCUCAAGGCACACACUGGUGAAGACAGAAGAGAAGAUAGAGCAACUCUAUACAGAGUCAAGAGAUAGCCCUUAUCCACAAAAUAUUAUCUUCAUGGCAAGAUACAACCUGUACAGCAAUAGAUGGGAAGAAGCUUACUCCAGCAACCAGUUCUGCAAGUUUUUCAACGCUCUGCCUUUACCACAUACGGAUGUGUAAAUAGGAGCCAGAAAAUCACUCGUUAGACUGUAUUUAGAGGAAAUAUACCUCCUUCAAUCAGUCAGUAAGGCUGUUCCUAUAUUACUCCCAGAGACACUGUAUUCUGGCACAAAUAAAUGGUGGAAAUCAUUAAAACA
rnacentral:lncRNA from 1 species